AGUCGAGCGGUAAGGCUUCCACAGUUUACUUAAACGGAUAAGACAGGUCGCGGAAAUUUCGGCUGAAAUUUUCGCAUCUGUUAGCGAAGUGAAGAACUUCGGUCCACCCCAAUACUAUAAAAAGUAGAAGAGGGAGUUUGAGUGAAGUGUGGAUGUACACGAGCGGCGGACGGCUGAGUAACACGUAGGAACGUACCCCAAAGUGAGGGAUAAGCACCAGAAAUGGUGUCUAAUACCGCAUGUGAUCUUCGGAUUAAAGCUUCGGCGCUUUGGGAACGGCCUGCGCAUGAUUAGCUUGUUGGUGAGGUAAAGGCUCACCAAGGCGACGAUCAUUAGCUGGUCUGAGAGGAUGAUCAGCCAGACUGGGACUGAGAACGGCCCAGACUCCUACGGGAGGCAGCAGUAGGGAAUUUUCCACAAUGGACGAAAGUCUGAUGGAGCAACGCCGCGUGCAGGAUGAAGGCUCUAGGGUCGUAAACUGCUUUUAUCUGUGAAGAUUAUGACGGUAGCAGAUGAAUAAGGAUCGGCUAACUCCGUGCCAGCAGCCGCG
rnacentral:rRNA from 1 species